CGGUUCGAGUCCGCUUACCUCCACUGAAACCUCCCUGGUAACUAAAUUUCCGGAGAAAUUUUUAGAUGUGACUUAGAAAUGUCUAUUUGAAAAGACCCCAGCUUCUUAUCAUCAUCACUUAGUUGAUAAUAUGCUGGGCUCGCAUGGAUUAAUUCCAUGAGAAUUCAGUA
rnacentral:misc_RNA from 1 species